rnacentral:rRNA from 1 species
UGCGCAGGCGGCCUCUUAAGUCAGAUGUGAAAUCCCCGGGCUUAACCUGGGAACUGCGUUUGAAACUGGGAGGCUAGAGUGUGGAAGAGGGGGUGGAAUUCCAGGUGUAGCAGUGAAAUGCGUAGAGAUCUGGAGGAACACCGAUGGCGAAGGCAGCCCCCUGGGCUAACACUGACGCUCAUGCACGAAAGCGUGGGGAGCAAACA